rnacentral:ncRNA from 13 species
CGGGAGGAUUAGUCUCCCAGGUUAGCCCGCAAUUCUUAUGAGUAACUCCUGUAACGGUACCCCCAUUUUCACAGCGAAGGUCAUCUCCCAAAGCUAUCGCAGUCAGCCCUAGAAGGACUAAGCUCGCUAUUAUUGCU